rnacentral:rRNA from 1 species
CGUGCGGGACGACGCCUUUCGGGGUGUAAACCGCUUUUCUCUGGGGAGAGGCAGGACGGUACCAGAGGAAGAAGCAUGGGCUAACUACGUGCCAGCAGCCGCGGUAAUACGUAGGAUGCGAGCGUUGUCCGGAAUUACUGGGCGUAAAGCGCGCGUAGGCGGUUCUUUGCGUGGAUUGUGAAAGCCCCUGGCUUACCUGGGGGAGGGCAGUCCAAACGGGGGAACUAGAGGGCGGUAGGGGCUGGCGGAAUGCCUGGAGUAGCGGUGAAAUGCGUUGAGAUCAGGCAGAACACCAGUGGCGAAGGCGGCCGGCUGGGCCGUACCUGACGCUGAGGCGCGAAAGCUAGGGGAGCGAACGGAAUUAGAUACUCCGGUAGUCCUAGCCCUAAACGAUGACAACUAGGUGUCGGGGGUAUCGACCCCCUCGGUGCCGGAGCACACGCGAUAAGUUGUCCGCCUGGGGAGUACGGCCGCAAGGCUAAAACUCAAAGGAAUUGACGGGGGCCCGCACAAGCAGCGGAGCGUGUGGUUUAAUUCGACGCAACGCGAAGAACCUUACCGGGGCUUGACAUGCAUAGGAAGUCGGCAGAGAUGUCGAUGCCCUUCGGGGUCUAUGCACAGGUGUUUGCAUGGCUGUCCGUCAAGCUCGUGCCGUGAGGUGUUUGGGUUAAAGUCCCGCAACGAACCGCAACCCCUGAUGCUAGUUAAGCUUG